rnacentral:rRNA from 1 species
UACGUAGGGUGCAAGCGUUGUCCGGAUUUAUUGGGCGUAAAGAGCGUGUAGGCGGCUUUACAGGUCCGUUGUGAAAACUCGAGGCUCAACCUCGAGACGCCGGUGGAAACCGUAAAGCUAGAGUCCGGAAGAGGAGAGUGGAAUUCCUGGUGUAGCGGUGAAAUGCGCAGAUAUCAGGAGGAACACCCGUGGCGAAAGCGGCUCUCUGGGACGGUACUGACGCUGAGACGCGAAAGCGUGGGGAGCAAACAGG